rnacentral:rRNA from 1 species
UGAUAUGAACCGUUAUAACCGGCGAUUUCCGAAUGGGGAAACCCAGUGUGAUUCGUCACACUAUCAUUAACUGAAUCCAUAGGUUAAUGAGGCGAACCGGGGGAACUGAAACAUCUAAGUACCCCGAGGAAAAGAAAUCAACCGAGAUUCCCCCAGUAGCGGCGAGCGAACGGGGAGCAGCCCAGAGCCUGAAUCAGUGUGUGUGUUAGUGGAAGCGUCUGGAAAGGCGUGCGAUACAGGGUGACAGCCCCGUACACAAAAAUGCACAUAUUGUGAGCUCGAUGAGUAGGGCGGGACACGUGGUAUCCUGUCUGAAUAUGGGGGGACCAUCCUCCAAGGCUAAAUACUCCUGACUGACCGAUAGUGAACCAGUACCGUGAGGGAAAGGCGAAAAGAACCCCGGCGAGGGGAGUGAAAAAGAACCUGAAACCGUGUACGUACAAGCAGUGGGAGCACGCUUAGGCGUGUGACUGCGUACCUUUUGUAUAAUGGGUCAGCGACUUAUAUUCUGUAGCAAGGUUAACCGAAUAGGGGAGCCGAAGGGAAACCGAGUCUUAACUGGGCGUUAAGUUGCAGGGUAUAGACCCGAAACCCGGUGAUCUAGCCAUGGGCAGGUUGAAGGUUGGGUAACACUAACUGGAGGACCGAACCGACUAAUGUUGAAAAAUUAGCGGAUGACUUGUGGCUGGGGGUGAAAGGCCAAUCAAACCGGGAGAUAGCUGGUUCUCCCCGAAAGCUAUUUAGGUAGCGCCUCGUGAAUUCAUCUCCGGGGGUAGAGCACUGUUUCGGCAAGGGGGUCAUCCCGACUUACCAACCCGAUGCAAACUGCGAAUACCGGAGAAUGUUAUCACGGGAGACACACGGCGGGUGCUAACGUCCGUCGUGAAGAGGGAAACAACCCAGACCGCCAGCUAAGGUCCCAAAGUCAUGGUUAAGUGGGAAACGAUGUGGGAAGGCCCAGACAGCCAGGAUGUUGGCUUAGAAGCAGCCAUCAUUUAAAGAAAGCGUAAUAGCUCACUGGUCGAGUCGGCCUGCGCGGAAGAUGUAACGGGGCUAAACCAUGCACCGAAGCUGCGGCAGCGACGCUUAUGCGUUGUUGGGUAGGGGAGCGUUCUGUAAGCCUGCGAAGGUGUGCUGUGAGGCAUGCUGGAGGUAUCAGAAGUGCGAAUGCUGACAUAAGUAACGAUAAAGCGGGUGAAAAGCCCGCUCGCCGGAAGACCAAGGGUUCCUGUCCAACGUUAAUCGGGGCAGGGUGAGUCGACCCCUAAGGCGAGGCCGAAAGGCGUAGUCGAUGGGAAACAGGUUAAUAUUCCUGUACUUGGUGUUACUGCGAAGGGGGGACGGAGAAGGCUAUGUUGGCCGGGCGACGGUUGUCCCGGUUUAAGCGUGUAGGCUGGUUUUCCAGGCAAAUCCGGAAAAUCAAGGCUGAGGCGUGAUGACGAGGCACUACGGUGCUGAAGCAACAAAUGCCCUGCUUCCAGGAAAAGCCUCUAAGCAUCAGGUAACAUCAAAUCGUACCCCAAACCGACACAGGUGGUCAGGUAGAGAAUACCAAGGCGCUUGAGAGAACUCGGGUGAAGGAACUAGGCAAAAUGGUGCCGUAACUUCGGGAGAAGGCACGCUGAUAUGUAGGUGAAGUCCCUCGCGGAUGGAGCUGAAAUCAGUCGAAGAUACCAGCUGGCUGCAACUGUUUAUUAAAAACACAGCACUGUGCAAACACGAAAGUGGACGUAUACGGUGUGACGCCUGCCCGGUGCCGGAAGGUUAAUUGAUGGGGU